AACGCACCUUGCGCUCCUUGGUAUUCCGAGGAGCAUGCCUGUUUGAGUGUCAUUAAAUUCUCAACCUCUCCAGCUUUUUGGCUGGACGAGGAUUGGAUGUGGGGGUGUGCUGGCUUCGUCAAGAGGUGGGCUCCCCUUAAAUGCAUUAGCGGGAACGUCUUGCGGACCGUCACUUGGUGUGAUAACUAUCUACGCUUUGAACCGUCUGUUGGUACCUAGUCGGUCUGGCUUCCAAUCGUCCUCGGACAAUACACCAUUCAUUUUGACCUCAAAUCAGGUAGGACUACCCGCUGAACUUAA
rnacentral:rRNA from 1 species